rnacentral:rRNA from 1 species
AGGACAGCAGUAGCCGCGGGAAAACGGAGGGAGCUAGCGUUAUUCGGAAUUACUGGGCGUAAAGCGCACGUAGGCGGCUUUGUAAGUAAGAGGUGAAAGCCCAGAGCUCAACUCUGGAAUUGCCUUUUAGACUGCAUCGCUUGAAUCAUGGAGAGGUCAGUGGAAUUCCGAGUGUAGAGGUGAAAUUCGUAGAUAUUCGGAAGAACACCAGUGGCGAAGGCGGCUGACUGGACAUGUAUUGACGCUGAGGUGCGAAAGCGUGGGGAGCAAACAGGAUUAGAUACCCGCGUAGUCCCUGUCUCUUAUAC